UGGGGAAUUUUGGACAAUGGGGGCAACCCUGAUCCAGCAAUGCCGCGUGUGUGAAGAAGGCCUUCGGGUUGUAAAGCACUUUUGUCCGGGAAGAAAUCGCACCUGAUAAUACCGGGUGUGGAUGACGGUACCGGAAGAAUAAGGACCGGCUAACUACGUGCCAGCAGCCGCGGUAAUACGUAGGGUCCAAGCGUUAAUCGGAAUUACUGGGCGUAAAGCGUGCGCAGGCGGUUGUGCAAGACCGAUGUGAAAUCCCCGGGCUUAACCUGGGAAUUGCAUUGGUGACUGCACGGCUAGAGUGUGUCAGAGGGGGGUAGAAUUCCACGUGUAGCAGUGAAAUGCGUAGAGAUGUGGAGGAAUACCGAUGGCGAAGGCAGCCCCCUGGGAUAACACUGACGCUCAUGCACGAAAGCGUGGGGAGCAAACAGG
rnacentral:rRNA from 9 species